rnacentral:lncRNA from 1 species
CUUGUGUAUAAUUCGGAGUUUAGUAUGACGUCCAUUAUCACUGUACUAUUAUGCAUAUUUUAGGGGCCAGCUGAAGGACACCUACGGGUGCGGGAAUUCUCGCUACAUUGAAGACCCAUUGGUUGCCUUCGGCUGUUGUUUGCUCUAUGGUCGGGUGGUUGUCGCUUUGACAUAUUCACCAUUUCCUUUCUCAAUUUUAUAUAAAAGUUUAA